UACGGGGGGGAGCAAGCGUUGUUCGGAUUUACUGGGCGUAAAGGGCGCGUAGGCGGCGUGACAAGUCACUUGUGAAAUCUCCGGGCUUAACUCGGAACGGUCAAGUGAUACUGUCGGACUAGAGUACAGAAGGGGGCAACUGGAAUUCUCGGUGUAGCGGUGAAAUGCGUAGAUAUCGAGAGGAACACCUGCGGCGAAGGCGGGUUGCUGGGCUGAUACUGACGUGAGGCGCGAAAGCCAGGGGAGCGAACGGG
rnacentral:rRNA from 1 species